UUGUGGGUUCUUUUUUUUCGCCUGCUGCUUCACUGUUCUACCCACUAGAGGGCGCCAGUGGCCAUCGCCAUGGUGAGGCGUGUCCCACGCUGCAGCGCACCUGUGUUGUAUCAGCUCAUCAUCUCCGGGAUUCUUAAGGAGCAGACUGCCAGCACUUCAUCGCCUGAGUGUUAUGCCAGUAAUGGUGUUUCCUCGUGAGUUCCCGAGAAGAUUCCAUUUUGGUUUCUUGGAUUCCCUUUUUCGUGACGCCGUGGAUUAUACCCACUGGUCGCCCGAGCCCCACCGUCAUCUCCUCCGUCUGAUCCCUAGCAGACUCCACAUAUCUUCAGCUGGCUGUCGGAACGCUCCUCCGUUUAAACAAAACUG